GACGAACGUUGGCGGCGUGCUUAACACAUGCAAGUCGAACGGAAAGGCCCUGCUUUUGUGGGGUGCUCGAGUGGCGAACGGGUGAGUAACACGUGAGUAACCUGCCCUUGACUUUGGGAUAACUUCAGGAAACUGGGGCUAAUACCGGAUAGGAGCUCCUGCUGCAUGGUGGGGGUUGGAAAGUUUCGGCGGUUGGGGAUGGACUCGCGGCUUAUCAGCUUGUUGGUGGGGUAGUGGCUUACCAAGGCUUUGACGGGUAGCCGGCCUGAGAGGGUGACCGGCCACAUUGGGACUGAGAUACGGCCCAGACUCCUACGGGAGGCAGCAGUGGGGAAUAUUGCACAAUGGGCGGAAGCCUGAUGCAGCAACGCCGCGUGCGGGAUGACGGCCUUCGGGUUGUAAACCGCUUUCGCCUGUGACGAAGCGUGAGUGACGGUAAUGGGUAAAGAAGCACCGGCUAACUACGUGCCAGCAGCCGCGGUGAUACGUAGGGUGCGAGCGUUGUCCGGAUUUAUUGGGCGUAAAGGGCUCGUAGGUGGUUGAUCGCGUCGGAAGUGUAAUCUUGGGGCUUAACCCUGAGCGUGCUUUCGAUACGGGUUGACUUGAGGAAGGUAGGGGAGAAUGGAAUUCCUGGUGGAGCGGUGGAAUGCGCAGAUAUCAGGAGGAACACCAGUGGCGAAGGCGGUUCUCUGGGCCUUUCCUGACGCUGAGGAGCGAAAGCGUGGGGAGCGAACAGGCUUAGAUACCCUGGUAGUCCACGCUGUAAACGGUGGGUACUAGGUGUGGGGUCCAUUCCACGGGUUCCGUGCCGUAGCUAACGCUUUAAGUACCCCGCCUGGGGAGUACGGCCGCAAGGCUAAAACUCAAAGGAAUUGACGGGGCCCCGCACAAGCGGCGGAGCAUGCGGAUUAAUUCGAUGCAACGCGUAGAACCUUACCUGGGUUUGACAUGGAUCGGGAGCGCUCAGAGAUGGGUGUGCCUCUUUUGGGGUCGGUUCACAGGUGGUGCAUGGCUGUCGUCAGCUCGUGUCGUGAGAUGUUGGGUUAAGUCCCGCAACGAGCGCAACCCUUGUUCACUGUUGCCAGCACGUUAUGGUGGGGACUCAGUGGAGACCGCCGGGGUCAACUCGGAGGAAGGUGGGGAUGACGUCAAGUCAUCAUGCCCCUUAUGUCCAGGGCUUCACGCAUGCUACAAUGGCUGGUACAGAGAGUGGCGAGCCUGUGAGGGUGAGCGAAUCUCGGAAAGCCGGUCUCAGUUCGGAUUGGGGUCUGCAACUCGACCUCAUGAAGUCGGAGUCGCUAGUAAUCGCAGAUCAGCAACGCUGCGGUGAAUACGUUCCCGGG
rnacentral:rRNA from 1 species